GAUACAAGGGUCAAAAGGUCAUGCGUUUCAUGCUUGCAUGAAAAAGCAUGACUUAUUGCCCCGCAAAACACCGAAAAGUAGCCAUUUUUUGUAGAAAAAUGAGCGGAUUUGAGGUGUUUUAGGAUUGCGAGAGCAUGAAAUGCGGAGCAAUCCGUGU
rnacentral:sRNA from 1 species